rnacentral:rRNA from 1 species
AUGAACGCUAGCGGGAGGCCUAACACAUGCAAGCCGAGCGGUAGAGAUCUUUCGGGAUCUUGAGAGCGGCGUACGGGUGCGGAACACGUGUGCAACCUGCCUUUAUCAGGGGGAUAGCCUUCCGAAAGGAAGAUUAAUACCCCAUAAUAUAAGAAACGGCAUCGUUUUUUAUUGAAAACUCCGGUGGAUAGAGAUGGGCACGCGCAAGAUUAGAUAGUUGGUGAGGUAACGGCUCACCAAGUCUACGAUCUUUAGGGGGCCUGAGAGGGUGAUCCCCCACACUGGUACUGAGACACGGACCAGACUCCUACGGGAGGCAGCAGUGAGGAAUAUUGGACAGUGGGAGGGAGCCUGAUCCAGCCAUCCCGCGUGAAGGACGACGGCCCUAUGGGUUGUAAACUUCUUUUGUAUAGGGAUAAACCUACCCUCGUGAGGGUAGCUGAAGGUACUAUACGAAUAAGCACCGGCUAACUCCGUGCCAGCCGCCGCGGUAAUAC